UGCAGGCCAGCCGGGGCUCCCAGGACAGACGGGAUCUGAGGGCCCCAGGGGUCAGCCGGGCCCUCCGGGGCCUCCGGGAAAAGGCUUCAGUUUUGACAUGAUGGAUUUGGAGGGGUCGGGUCUGGAUGGAAGCAGUGGUUUCAGACCUGUUCUGCCCAGAGGACCACCUGGUCUUCCUGGGCUCCCAGGACCUCCAGGGCCACAGGGGAAAGAAGGAGCCGUCGGCCCUCCGGGUGUUUCAGUGAAGGGGGAGCCGGGCGCGAAAGGAGACGACGGACAGCCUGGGUCAUCUGGACUGCCUGGGCGACAAGGGGAAAGGGGGGAGAAAGGUGAUAUGGGUCAGAAGGU
rnacentral:lncRNA from 1 species